rnacentral:tRNA from 2 species
ACUAUUUUGGCAGAAAAGUGCUAUGGAUUUAGAAUUCAUCUAUGUAGGUUAAUUUCCUACAAAUAGUA